rnacentral:lncRNA from 1 species
AGAGAAUUGAAUCAUGGAAGGAGGGGGUAGCAACACGCCCUUCUACCGCGGCAACAGCACCGCACUCGCCACCAACCCUUCUGCUGCUGCUGCUGCUGCUGCUGCGGUAUUCCUCUUCCUUGCUUUCUCUAGCCCCAAUCUCCACGCCGUGAGCUUGUUGCCUCCUCGCAACGGGUUAGGAUUCCCAACGGGUUUUCUGGAAUCUAGGUCUAUGUUCUCUUUGUCUGAUCUUUACAUUAGAAAUAUCGAUGUAUGUCUGUGUUCCUAGGGUAAUCUCUGCUAUGCUGUAUGGCUCUGCGCCAUUGCUUAUUCCACCCCUCUAGCUCUAGGGGAUUCAAGAAACAGUGGAUCAAGACAUGAGCCGUUUAUGUUAAUAAUAACUGCAAAAGGGGUCACUACGGUUUAUCUAAGUGAAAUCUCGAUUCUGGUUUCUUUUGUAAACUUAUGUGAAAGAGACUCUAGAGGGUAUGGUUAAGUAUAUAUAUCAUGUGUGGUUUUUUUUUUGGCAUCCGUAGGAUUUGUUUUUUCUGGCUUGCGUGUUCAAAGCACACAACUGCCUACUACUGCAUCUAGUUUCAGUUGAUAGGUCUGUCUUUUAGUUCACUGAUUAAAAGCUGAUUUUGCUAGCGAGCAGAAUGGGGCACAGAAAGGGGACAGGGAGGCUGCCAUCGAUGCCGAGAUAGUGAGGGUUAACGACCUACCAGCUCAUAGUUCCUACGCCAUACACCGCAUGAAGGUGCUAAACAAACUUCGUCAUCUGCUGU